rnacentral:lncRNA from 10 species
UCUCUACUAAAAAUACAAAAUUAGCUGGGCCUUGUGCGCGCGCCUGUAAUCCCAGCUACUCGAGAGGCUGAGGCAGGAGAAUCGCUUGAACCCAGGAGGCGGAAGUUUCAGUGAGCCGAGAUUGUGCCAUUGCACUCCAGCCUGGGCAACAAGAGUGAAACUCUGUCUCAAAAAAAAAGAAAAAAGAAAAAAUGCUGAGGGCAAUUGUAAAUCUGCCUUAUCUGGAGAACACCUUUGGGAACAUGAAGUGAAAUUGGGGCCAUUGGCAACUAUCAUUCUCAGCAUAUGAAAGAAACCUAUGCAGUUGGAGAAAAUAAGGUCAACACAGAGGGAAGCAAAACUAAGAAGAAAGAGCACAAAAGUGCCCUGAACCACGGCGUGAGCCCCUGCACCCAGCCAGCUGUGAAGACAAUCCGACCACUGGGCUUCCUAUUACAUGAACCUAUAAGCUACUUUUUAUUUUUCCUUUAGGUACUUUGAGCUGAGUUUCUGUCAUCUGCAAGCAAAAGUGCCCUCACGCAAUACAUAUGCCUUUUUUUUUUUUUUUUUUUUUUGAGAUGGAGUCUCACUCUGUCACCCAGGCUGCAGUGCAGGGGCAUGAUCUCAGCUCCCUGCAACCUCCACCUCCCGGAUUCAAGCAAUUAAUUCUCCUGCCUUAGCCUCCCCAGUAGCUGGGAUUACAGGCGCCCACAACCAUGCGUGGCUAAUUUUUGUAUUUUUAGUAGAGACCGGGUUUCACUAUGUUGGCCAGGCUGGUCUCAAACUCCUGACCUCAGGAGAUCUGCCCGCCUUGGCCUCCCAAAGUCCUGGGAUCACAAGUGUGAGCCACUGCACCCGGCCCAUAUGUCUCUCUCAGUGGGCUAUUUGCCCCAUGAAGGUAGGGACUAUAUUUUAUUUAUCUUUCUACUUACCCCAGAAUCUGAUACAUGGGAAGUAUGCAAUAAGUGUUUAUUGAUUUCUCCUGAAUUAAAUAAAGGAAUGAAAAUUCUGGAAAGAUGAGCAUUGAUUUAACUGGCACAUACACUUCUGGCUGUUUUGUGGGUUGCGUUCUAAGACAAUAAAGCCAAAAUGCAGAGACCCUAAGAAAUUGGUGGCAAUAAAGCAUUUGAUUAAGGUAUUAUAAGGCAAAUAGGAUACUUGGAAGACAUGAACUAGGCAUAAUUAUCAAGGAAAUAAUUUUUCUCAGGAUAUCCUACUGAUAAGUAGGUUGCUGUCUCCAGAGGCCAACCAAGCAGCCAACAGAAAGAACAGGUAACCUGCAGAGACUUGCUUAGUCUCUGAUUUCAUGAAUUACUCUCAAAUUUUCAACAAAAACCCAUCUUGCCUAGAGAGAUCAGAGCUUCACAGAUACUCCUCAUCCCCUGCUUGUAAAGUUCCUUCUGAUAUCCAUCCAGAUUCUCCUACUCCUGUAUUGAAAAACAGAUGGCCAUGUCGUCAAAGGUCAUUGCCACUUGGAACCCCAAACACAUUUCCUUUUGUCUCAGGGUGGCUUCACACCUGUCCUCAUCAGUAAUGUUUAAAAGCCCUUCUACCUUUGUUAUAUUGGGGAAGGAGUUAGGACACAAAUCUUGAGAAGGCAGAAUAUUCAUCAUGUGAAUUGACUUAGGCUUUAGUGACAUAAUUCCAGGAAUAGACUUGUGAUGAUUUUGCUGUUCCUCUUUUCAAAAGUUAACCAGUGCUGCAAACAAAGCAGAUUUAUACCCUGACAGAGGUGGAAUAUUGAAUACAUAGGCCCUUGUUUUACAGGAAUAGUUUGGGGAGACUCAUAGAGAAGUCAAUCAUUGGAACUUCUGCAGACACUUAUUUGUAACUGGAGAAACACAAUCUGAAAUAAUUUGAUUCAAUUAAAUGAACAUUUGAGCAAUUACCAUAGGACAUAGUUCUGUAAGCACCUAGCCUACUAUACAGUCAUAUAAUGUUAUAGUACUGCGUGAUAAAGUACACAUUGAACUGUCUUCAACAUUUUGAGAUGUUAAAAACACCAAAAACACCUGUGUUUAUAAGCAAAAAAUAGUUACAUCUGCAGACUUCCAUAAUUGGUACCAUUUCUUUUUUUUGUUUGUUUGUUUUUCUUUUUUUUGAGACGGAGUCUGCCUCUGCCCCCAAGGCUGGAGUGCAGUGGCGCUAUCUCGGCUCACUGCAAGCUCCGCCCCCCAGGUUCACGCCAUUCUCUUGCCUCAGCCUCCCGAGUAGCUGGGACUACAGGCGCCCACCACCACGCCCGGCUAAUUUUUUUUUUUUUGUAUUUUUUAGUGGAGACGGAGUUUCACCGUGUUAGCCAGGAUGGUCUCGAUCUCCUGACCUCGUGAUCCUCCUGCCUCGGCCUCCCAAAGUGCUGGGAUUACAGGCGUGAGCCACCGCGCCCGGCCAUAAUUGGUACCAUUUCACCAAAAUAAAAUUUAAAGUGACAGUUUGCUCCAAUACAGCUAUGAGAAAUUAUCUUCUUCAAAACAUUUUGCACCAGAAAAGCAAAACAUCACUUUCCCUAGAAGGUGACAAAGCAAAUAAGGAAAAUGCCCUUUAGUUUCCUAGUAAUUAGAAAACAGAAUAGAAGCUUGACUAGGCAGUCACUACCCCAGAGACGCAACACCAUUAACAUUAAUAAUACCACGCCUGUAAUCCCAGCACUUUGGGAGGCCAAGGCAGGCGGGCACGUGGUCAGGAGUUCGAGACCAGCCUGGCCAAUAUGGUGAAACUCAGUCUCUACUAAAAAUACAAAGCUUAGCCGGACAUGGUGGUGCGUGCCUGUAGUCCCAGCAACUCAGGAGGCUGAGGCAGGAGAAUCACUUGAACCUGAGAGGCGGAGGUUGCAGUGAGCCGAGAUCGCGCCACUGCACUCCAGCCUGGGCAACUGAGUGAUACUCCGUCUCACUCACACACACACACACUCGCCGGGGGGGGGGGGGGGUGGCGCACGCCUGUAAUCCCAGCUACACACACACACACACACACACACACACACACACUAGCCGGGCGUGGUGGCGCACGCCUGUAAUCCCAGCUGCUUGGGAAGCUGAGGCACGAGAAUCGCUUGAACCCGGGAGGCGGAGGUUGCAGUCGGCUGACAUGGCACCACUGCACUCCAGCCUGGGUGACAGAGCGAGACUCCGUCUUAAAUAAAUAAAUAAAAAGAAAAUGGAAGUGCCUAAUAUUGCAAUUCAGCAUUGUACUUUCACAUGUGCCCUUUAUGGGAAUCCUUUUCUUUUCUCACCCGUAAUUUCCUGUUCUUUCUCCCAAUCUGCACCUCAUCCAGCAGAGUCUCCGCCCACAAGCUGCGCUUAGGGAAGCAGGCACUCUCCGGAAACUCUGGACUGAGUAAAAUCAAUGGGUGCGUGCGGGACUCCUCCACUGAUUCUUUGAUUCCACAGCAUUUGUACAGCACCCACGGGGGCCCCACACUAGGUGGGAAACGAAGAUGAAAAGUCGCAGUCUCUGUUCCAAAGACCGCAGAGCCCAGGGCUGCGUUUCCUUCCCGGCCUUUUGUCCAGGCCCCAGGGAGCGAGCUGGGGGAAGGCUCCCCGGCCAGGGCUUCCCCACAGAUUUUACUAGGUCAGGGCAGCCCCGGGGAGGCGCCUCCUCCCAGCCGGAACCGCCCGACUCCGCUUCGUCCUCUUGGGCCCACGGACCACUCCCCACUGCCCCAGCCCCAACACCUGCAGAUCCUGCGAGCCCGAGCCCUCCCGCGACCGCCCAGAGAGGGUCUGACACCCGAAGGGGAACCCCAGGGACUAGUCCUGCCGUAGUCUAAGCUCUGGUCUCGCGGAGGAAAAGCAGGGGCGGCCCCCGUACGCGGGGCCUGCGCCCUUCAGCCCCAGCCCCACCCUGCGCGACCCCGGGAUCUCGCUCGGCGGCGGCCGUUGCCCAGGGCACAGGCAGGGCAUGCUGAGAACGCUCUGCCUUUCCUGUGCCUGGACACGGCUCGGGCUGGGAUCCCACAGCGCCGCCUUCUGGCGGGAGGCACCCCCGCGGCGCUGUGCAUUCUGGGCUCCCUGGAUCUCUGAACUUGAAUUGGAGCUGCUCCAAGCUCUCCAGAGAUAACCUCCUUUAGGGUUACACGAGAUUGCCUCUGAAAUUGAUAGGUAUGUAAAUUAGUAGGGAUUUGGAGAAUGUGUAACGUCGCCAUUUUCGGUUUCAAUUUUUGCUACUACAAGCCGCCUGUCUUCACAAUGAAACUGUGUUAUCGGCCGGGCGCGGUGGCUCAUGCCUAUAAUCCCAGCACUUUAGGAGGCUGAGGCGGGCGGAUCACCUGAGGUCAGGAGUUUGAGACCAGCCUGGCCAACAUGGUGAAACCCCGUCUCUACUAAAAAUACAAAAAUUAGCCGGGCGUGGUGGCACGCGCCUGUAGUCCCAGCUACUCGGGUGGCUGAGGCGGGAGAAUCACUUGAACCCAGGAGGUGAAGAUUGCAGUGAGCCGAGAUCGCACCACU